GAUGAACGCUGGCGGCGUGCUUAACACAUGCAAGUCGAACGGACUUUACAUGAAGCCUAGCGAAUGUAAAGUUAGUGGCGGACGGGUGAGUAACGCGUGAAUAACCUGCCUUAUACUGGGGGACAACAGUUGGAAACGACUGCUAAUACCGCAUAAGCGCACGGAGCUGCAUGGCUCAGUGUGAAAAACUCCGGUGGUAUAAGAUGGAUUCGCGUCUGAUUAGCUAGUUGGUGAGGUAACGGCCCACCAAGGCGACGAUCAGUAGCCGAACUGAGAGGUUGAUCGGCCACAUUGGGACUGAGACACGGCCCAGACUCCUACGGGAGGCAGCAGUCGGGAAUAUUGCACAAUGGGGGAAACCCUGAUGCAGCGACGCCGCGUAAAGGAAGAAGGUCUUCGGAUUGAAACUUUUGUCGACAGGGAAGAAUAAAAUGACAGUACCUGUGGAGGAAGCCCCCGGCUAACUACGUG
rnacentral:rRNA from 1 species